rnacentral:siRNA from 1 species
UGUCUCGAAGAGGAUUGGUUG